UGCCCUUGACAUUGACAGAACCUUCGAGAGAUCGAGGGGUGCCUUCGGGCCUGGAAAACAGGUGCUGCAUGGCUGUCGUCAGCUCGUGUCGUGGGAUGUUGGGUUAAGUCCCGUAACGAGCACAACCCUUGUCCUUAGUUGCCAGCACUUCGGGUGGGAACUCUAGGGAGACUGCCGGUGACAAACCGGAGGAAGGUGGGGAUGACGUCAAGUCAUCAUGGCCCUUAUGGGCAGGGCUACACACGUGCUACAAUGGUCGGUACAAAGGGUAGCCAACCAGCAAUGGGGAGCCAAUCCCAGAAAACCGGUCGUAGUCCGGAUCGGAGUCUGCAACUCGACUCCGUGAAGUCGGAAUCGCUA
rnacentral:rRNA from 1 species